GUAGGAGCUGGAGGUGGGUUUGG
rnacentral:miRNA from 1 species